rnacentral:rRNA from 1 species
GACGAACGCUGGCGGCGUGCCUAAUACAUGCAAGUAGAACGCACAGUUUAUACCGUAGCUUGCUACACCAUAAACUGUGAGUUGCGAACGGGUGAGUAACGCGUAGGUAACCUGCCUGGUAGCGGGGGAUAACUAUUGGAAACGAUAGCUAAUACCGCAUAAUAUUGAUUAUUGCAUGAUAAUUGAUUGAAAGAUGCUAUUGCAUCACUACCAGAUGGACCUGCGUUGUAUUAGCUAGUAGGUGAGGUAACGGCUCACCUAGGCGACGAUACAUAGCCGACCUGAGAGGGUGAUCGGCCACACUGGGACUGAGACACGGCCCAGACUCCUACGGGAGGCAGCAGUAGGGAAUCUUCGGCAAUGGACGAAAGUCUGACCGAGCAACGCCGCGUGAGUGAAGAAGGUUUUCGGAUCGUAAAGCUCUGUUGUAAGAGAAGAACGGGUGUGAGAGUGGAAAGUUCACACUGUGACGGUAUCUGACCAGAAAGGGACGGCUAACUACGUG